rnacentral:rRNA from 1 species
UAGGGAAUAUUGGACAAUGGGGGAAACCCUGAUCCAGCAAUGCCGCGUGAGUGAUGAAGGCCUUAGGGUUGUAAAGCUCUUUUACCCGGGAUGAUAAUGACAGUACCGGGAGAAUAAGCUCCGGCUAACUCCGUGCC